rnacentral:miRNA from 10 species
AACUCUGGACCCGCUCUCAUAC